rnacentral:rRNA from 1 species
UACGUAGGGUGCAAGCGUUGUCCGGAAUUAUUGGGCGUAAAGAGCUCGUAGGCGGUUUGUCGCGUCUGCUGUGAAAACUCGGGGCUUAACCCCGGGCCUGCAGCGGGUACGGGCAGACUAGAGUGCGGUAGGGGAGACUGGAAUUCCUGGUGUAGCGGUGAAAUGCGCAGAUAUCAGGAGGAAUCCCGGUGGUGUAGACGGCUCUCUGGACCGCCACUGACGCUGAGACACGAAAGCGUGGGUAGCAAACAGG